rnacentral:rRNA from 1 species
UGGGGAAUUUUGGACAAUGGACGCAAGUCUGAUCCAGCCAUGCCGCGUGCGGGAAGAAGGCCUUCGGGUUGUAAACCGCUUUUGUCAGGGAAGAAACGAGUUUCUCUAAUACCGAGACUUAAUGACGGUACCUGAAGAAUAAGCACCGGCUAACUACGUGCCAGCAGCCGCGGUAAUACGUAGGGUGCAAGCGUUAAUCGGAAUUACUGGGCGUAAAGCGUGCGCAGGCGGUUAUGCAAGACAGAUGUGAAAUCCCCGGGCUCAACCUGGGAACUGCAUUUGAAACUGGCAGGCUUGAGUCUUGUAGAGGGGGGUAGAAUUCCAGGUGUAGCGGUGAAAUGCGUAGAUAUGCGGAGGAACACCGAUGGCGAAGGCAGCCUCCUGGGCCAGUACUGACGCUCAUGCACGAAAGCGUGGGGAGCAAACA